CGGACGGGUGAGUAAUGUCUGGGAAACUGCCUGAUGGAGGGGGAUAACUACUGGAAACGGUAGCUAAUACCGCAUAACGUCGCAAGACCAAAGAGAGGGACCUUCGGGCCUCUUGCCAUCGGAUGUGCCCAGAUGGGAUUAGCUAGUAGGUGGGGUAACGGCUCACCUAGGCGACGAUCCCUAGCUGGUCUGAGAGGAUGACCAGCCACACUGGAACUGAGACACGGUCCAG
rnacentral:rRNA from 1 species